rnacentral:rRNA from 1 species
UACGUAGGGGGCUAGCGUUGUCCGGAAUCAUUGGGCGUAAAGCGCGUGUAGGCGGCCCGAUAAGUCCGCUGUGAAAGUCCAGGGCUCAACCCUGGGAUGCCGGUGGAUACUGUCGGGCUCGAGUCCGGAAGAGGCGAGUGGAAUUCCUGGUGUAGCGGUGAAAUGCGCAGAUAUCAGGAGGAACACCAAUGGCGAAGGCAGCUCGCUGGGACGUGACUGACGCUGAGACGCGAAAGCUAGGGGAGCAAACGGG